AUCUCACCAAAAAUAAUCCUUCUGAUGAUUGCAAGAUUAUUCUGCAUACAACACGCACACACGCACGCACACACACUCACUGACACACUCCCUCAUCUCUUUCUCUCUCUGCUUACAGACACUCACAUGGAGAAAUCAGCAACACGACGCUCAUCUUUUAAAUGGAACAAUUGAGGUAUCCAAAUGAGAGCUCUCACGGAGCCUUCGUCCAUCUCUAAUGCACGACAGAGCCACAGCUGGCAGGGAGAUGCUCUCCAACCCACCUGGAAGUGGCUGUAGAACUAAGUCAUUUCUCUGCUUUUCAAAUGCUGGGUCAACUGUUGCUGUGUGGCAUGGUCUACAGAGAACUGAUGGCACAUUUCUUAUGCCUGAAGCCUGUCAAAGCAGAGCGAGAACUUCAGCCAUAGCCUCACACCAGGCAGUCCCAGUAGCAGUAGGGGCGCUGAAACUGCCAAGGAUAUUAAAUGCUCAGAAGCUGUGAUUGGCAUUUUGAAGGAGCACAGUUUCAAAAAUACUGAAAAGUACUUGCAAAAGUGUCCUAAUCACUUUUAAGCUUAAGUCUCAUCUAAACAAUUUUUACUACUUUUUGAAAAGAAAAAUUUCUUAUAUUAGUGUCUUAGUAAGAUUUCCUAAAAGGUCCCAUUCCAGCACAUGCAUAGUUAUAUUUAACUUCCUGAAUACUUGGUUAAUCUUAAUUCAUAUUGACACUGACUCUUGCAUGUCAAGCCUUAAUGUUUUCAGGAUCCAGAGCUCCUUUUGGAAUUUGUAGAAUAAGUAUAAAUGAAAGAAGAAGGAGAAGGAUGAAAAUUACAGUACUAACUUGCUUAAAGGUAUUUAGUCCAACAUGAACAUUUUUAUCUUGUCACAGUUUCCAAUAUUUCAUUUUUGUUUACAUCUUCAAUCAAAGCUUAAAUCAAAAUAUCAGACUAGUCUUAUCUGUACUGAUUUGUUUUGAAAUGUUUCACUUAGAUAUUUCGUGGUUGAAAAUAAAAAUUACAAAAUUAAAAACA
rnacentral:lncRNA from 1 species